rnacentral:tRNA from 1 species
GGGCAAUUGGUCUAGUGGUAUGAUUUCCCCUUAGCAAUCUCGUGAACCGCGAGAGAAACUUGGGGAAGGUCCUGGGUUCAAUUCCCAGAUUGUCCA